AAUGCCUAGGAAUCUGCCUGGUAGUGGGGGACAACGUUUCGAAAGGAACGCUAAUACCGCAUACGUCCUGCGGGAGAAAGCAGGGGACCUUCGGGCCUUGCGCUAUCAGAUGAGCCUAGGUCGGAUUAGCUAGUUGGUGAGGUAAUGGCUCACCAAGGCGACGAUCCGUAACUGGUCUGAGAGGAUGAUCAGUCACACUGGAACUGAGACACGGUCCAGACUCCUACGGGAGGCAGCAGUGGGGAAUAUUGGACAAUGGGCGAAAGCCUGAUCCAGCCAUGCCGCGUGUGUGAAGAAGGUCUUCGGAUUGUAAAGCACUUUAAGUUGGGAGGAAGGGCAUUAACCUAAUACGUUAGUGUUUUGACGUUAUCAACAGAAUAAGCACCGGCUAACUCUGUGCCAGCAGCCGCGGUAAUACAGAGGGUGCAAGCGUUAAUCGGAAUUACUGGGCGUAAAGCGCGCGUAGGUGGUUCGUUAAGUUGGAUGUGAAAUCCCCGGGCUCAACCUGGGAACUGCAUCCAAAACUGGCGAGCUAGAGUAGGGCAGAGGGUGGUGGAAUUUCCUGUGUAGCGGUGAAAUGCGUAGAUAUAGGAAGG
rnacentral:rRNA from 1 species